rnacentral:rRNA from 1 species
UACAGAGGUCUCAAGCGUUGUUCGGAUUCAUUGGGCGUAAAGGGUGCGUAGGUGGCGCCGUAAGUCGGGUGUGAAAUUUCGGAGCUUAACUCCGAAACUGCAUUCGAUACUGCGGUGCUUGAGGACUGGAGAGGAGACUGGAAUUCAUGGUGUAGCAGUGAAAUGCGUAGAGAUCAUGAGGAAGACCAGUGGCGAAGGCGGGUCUCUGGACAGUUCCUGACACUGAGGCACGAAGGCCAGGGGAGCAAACGGGAUUAGAAC